GGGCUUGACAUCCCACGAACCUGCCCGAAAGGGUAGGGUGCCCGCAAGGGAGCGCGGAGACAGGUGGUGCAUGGCUGUCGUCAGCUCGUGUCGUGAGAUGUUGGGUUAAGUCCCGCAACGAGCGCAACCCUCACCCCUUGUUGCCACCGGGUUAUGCCGAGCACUCUAGGGGAACUGCCAGCGUCAAGCUGGAGGAAGGCGGGGAUGACGUCAAGUCAUCAUGCCCCUUACGCCCUGGGCGACACACGUGCUACAAUGGCUGGUACAAAGGGAUGCAAGACCGCGAGGUGGAGCUAAUCCCAAAAAACCGGUCUAAGUUCAGAUUGCAGUCUGCAACUCGACUGCAUGAAGGAGGAAUCGCUAGUAAUCGCGCAUCAGCACGGCGCGGUGAAUACGUUCCCGGGCCUUGUACACACCGCCCGUCACACCACGAAAGCCGGCUGUACUCGAAGUCGCUGAG
rnacentral:rRNA from 1 species